rnacentral:rRNA from 1 species
ACUCAAAUGAAUUGACGGGGGCCCGCACAAGCGGCGGAGCAUGUGGAUUAAUUCGAUGCAACGCGAAGAACCUUACCUGGGUUUGACAUACACCAGACGCGGCUAGAGAUAGUCGUUCCCUUGUGGUUGGUGUACAGGUGGUGCAUGGCUGUCGUCAGCUCGUGUCGUGAGAUGUUGGGUUAAGUCCCGCAACGAGCGCAACCCUUGUCCUGUAUUGCCAGCGGGUUAUGCCGGGGACUUGCAGGAGACUGCCGGGGUCAACUCGGAGGAAGGUGGGGAUGACGUCAAGUCAUCAUGCCCCUUAUGUCCAGGGCUUCACACAUGCUACAAUGGCCGGUACAGAGGGCUGCGAUACCGUGAGGUGGAGCGAAUCCCUUAAAGCCGGUCUCAGUUCGGAUCGGGGUCUGCAACUCGACCCCGUGAAGUCGGAGUCGCUAGUAAUCGCAGAUCAGCAACGCUGCGGUGAAUACGUUCCCGGGCCUUGCACACACCGCCCGU